AUUGAACGCUGGCGGCAGGCCUAACACAUGCAAGUCGAACGGUAACAGGAAACAGCUUGCUGUUUCGCUGACGAGUGGCAGACGGGUGAGUAAUGUCUGGGAAACUGCCUGAUGGAGGGGGAUAACUACUGGAAACGGUAGCUAAUACCGCAUAACGUCGCAAGACCAAAGAGGGGGACCUUCGGGCCUCUUGCCAUCAGAUGUGCCCAGAUGGGAUUAGCUAGUAGGUGGGGUAACGGCUCACCUAGGCGACGAUCCCUAGCUGGUCUGAGAGGAUGACCAGCCACACUGGAACUGAGACACGGUCCAGACUCCUACGGGAGGCAGCAGUGGGGAAUAUUGCACAAUGGGCGCAAGCCUGAUGCAGCCAUGCCGCGUGUAUGAAGAAGGCCUUCGGGUUGUAAAGUACUUUCAGCGGGGAGGAAGGGAGUAAAGUUAAUACCUUUGCUCAUUGACGUUACCCGCAGAAGAAGCACCGGCUAACUCCGUG
rnacentral:rRNA from 1 species